ACUCCUGGUAAGAGGAGAUCUCAUCCUACUUGCUCUGAUCGAUUGAUGAUUCAGGAAGUCUUUGAUCAAAGUAGAAUAAAAAUUAGAAAGAGUUUUUAAUAUUUUAUUAAUUGAAUCAUCAUAUAAGAUUAAGAGAAAUAUGAGUAUGAUAUUAGAUUUGACAUCAUUCCAUAUCCAGAGUCAUAUUCGGGGUGCAGGG
rnacentral:lncRNA from 1 species